UUUUUUUUAAAUUCGCGUUUUUUCUGUUAGGAAAGUUUGUAGGGCAAAUAGCUAUUUAUAUACUGAUAAAAAUGAAAAACAAAAAACAACUUCCUUAUGAGGCAAAAACCACUGCGUCCAUAUAAAGCUCUUUUGAUACAAUGCGGAAACAAAUUACGAUGAGUCGGAAGCCGGCUCGUUUAUUUCUAUAUUUUGCCUUCUUGUUCUGUCAUGUUGAGAAUACCCUUGUCAUGUUCCUAUCAUGUUUUGUAUUGUAAAAUUUCACUUAUUUACACAGGUGAUAGUUGUUGAGGUUAGCGUGUU